rnacentral:lncRNA from 7 species
UCUUUCCAGUGUGGCUGAGGAAAAUCACAACACCAGCUGCAUGUAAGAAACUCCUGGAAAGAAGAACAAAGCCAUCUGUUCUCCAUGUCCACGAAGGCAUGCACAAGAACUAAUGGGUGUACCCUACAUCAAGAAAGAUUCAGGUUAGGAACAGCGUCUAAUGGAGAGGAGAACAAAGCAGGCUUGUUCACAGGAGACUGGCUGAAGAGCACACUCAUUGCUGUUUUCCCAGCAGAAGAUAGAAAAAUGUGUCAGGAAAUCACUGCAUGCAAAGGAGUUGGAGGAUUUGUGAGUGCAAGACCCCUGCAGAAAAUGGUGUGCAGCAGAGUAGGAAGUGCAUGGUGAAACAGAGGUACUGCUCAAGUUGACAAAAGGAGCAACACCAAAAGCUCACUUGACUGUACUGCCAGCUGAUCAGCUCUUCUGCAUGCGGCCAGGGCAAAUCGGCUUGGGCUCUCAGACUUGUAUGCCUUGUGUUGGCAGCUGGUUAAACUGUAAGAAAGAGCUGUACUAAUGGAAGGGGUUGCUUUACAUCUGGACAUCUGGAUGCUUUAAGACCUAUGGUGUGCACAUCCAUUCAUACACUGGGAGGUUUUCCAGAACUCUGACACAAUGGAGCAGUUGUGGAAGACAGCAGGUAGGAGAUGGAACAAAAGCACAGGUCAGGCUGGGGACAGAAAUUAUGCUUUUUAUUCAGACAUUGCAGGGCAUGCACAGGACAUCAGGCAUGUUGCUAAAACAUGGCUGCAGCACCAAAUGCUGCCUGCUGCCCUAACACACAGGGGCUGUGAAUAACUCAUGGCUUGUUGUGGUCCUGGAGUACAAAAACACCACUACUUUUCUUUAAUUACAAAUAGUUAAGGUAUAUCCUUCCAUUCUACCAGGCAGAUGUCCUGAAGCACCAUGGCAGCAUCAGAGCAGGUGCUAUGUGAGAAGGCAUGUUGUGAAUGAAGCUACAAGAACGUGCACUUACAUUUACACCGGGUUUAUUUACAAGCACACCUCACCUGGGACAGUGACAUCUGAAGGGCUAGCCUGCUCCAUCCCCAUGGUCCCAGCAGGCAGCAUGUCUCUACACCAGAGCAGAAGACAGCAUGGUGCUGUGUUCAGACUGUGCUAAUCCUGCCAUGUGUUUUGAAGAUGAUGUGUUUCCUGUUGCCUUUCACCUUGUGGCUGCACAGAUCCCUUCUGCUGGAUGGCAAUCUUAAAGGAUGCUGAUGGGAAAUCCCAGGAAGCUGCUCUCUGAUCUAAGUCACGCUGCUGGCAGAGGGAAGUCUCCAACACAUGCAGGCAUGGCACAGGGUGUUCCCCGCCGCUUGGCACAUACUGCAGUCGAUAGCCCUCAGCAGGAUCUUGCAUUCAAUAUUAUGCUGUCUAAGAGGCUUAAAAUUGACUGCAAAGCUUCGGUACAACUACAAAAAAAUCUUGUUUUCAGUUUCGCCUCUGGUGGAUUGCUCCAGAAUGAGACAGAGCAACUUGGUAAUUUAUUCUUGGAAUAGGGAUAGUACAUCUGCACUGGAGUAUUUGGAAUUGCAUUAUGUAAUAUGAAAAGCAGUCAUUCAUUUGAACUCCCCUUGUGGGAACAGCAGCUGCCCAGACAAAUUCCAUGUGAAGAUGGGAAAUGUGACAGAAAUCAGACAGAGCCUGCUUCUGUGUGCUGCAGAAACAACUGAGCAGUUUUGCGCCCACUAGGAAUGCCUUGCAUUCUAUCUUGCUCUCCACAGCUUGUUGUAGGUUCUUAUACCAGCUCCUGACAGACCCCCAUUUGCUGCUGCAAAAAACCAUAUAGUUGCUAGUGUCAGACAAAUGCUGCUGUCAGAGCAGAACUUGACAUAACAGCCCAUUUAAGCCACCAGCCCAGGAGCAGGAAUGGCUGUGGAGAGCCACUGCAGCCCUCCUCACCCUUGCUUAAGCAUCCUGCCUUGCUCUGAGCUGCUCCAGCGGGCAGAACUCAGGAGUGUGCUGGCUCUGAUGGUCCUCGCUCAGUGCAGUGUGUGCCACACAACCCCAUUGGCUGUGACAAAACAUGGUGCCUCUGGGUCCCUGCCUUCCCUCCAGGAAGCGCCUGCAGUCCAGCACAGUGUCUCCUGCUUUAUGUUCCCCAGACAAGCUGUUAUCACCGCAGACAGCUCUGCCACUGCUGAGAGUAUCAUUUGAAAGAGGACUAUCAAUGCAGGUGACCUGAAUCCUGAUGUGGCAGUGCAGACGUGGGGUCAGCAGUACACCACUGCAACUCUUUAAUGCUGACUUUUUGGAUACAGGGCAGGAUGUGUCAGGAUCAGUCGUUGCACAUGAUCCUGGAGCACUGAAGAAAAGCAAGAACAACUGUUCGCAAUUAGCUCCAAGUAUGUAUUGCCCACCAUCUUAUCUCUGAUAGUGGUCAAGAGCUAUUAUUGUGGGCAGUGCGAGAAGGGGGCAUAGCUACUGCAGUAGCAGUACCACCCAGAAUACUUGAUGAUAUGAAGCUCAGAGGCCUCGGAAACAAAAAUAGGGUCUUCUAUUUAACCAGUGUGGGUGGAUUUCUUUUUCUCCCACAAUGAUAUUUAACUUCUUUUUGAAUGCACAUAAACCUCAAUGACCCACUGUAUCCUCUGUUAAGCAGUUUGACACUGCAUAGUGCAUAUUAAAAAAAAAACAACUGCUUUUUGUUUUGUAGUCACUACCUCCUAAUUUAUGGGGCACUGAUGGUUCUUAUAUCAAAGGGACAAUGAGAAACCACACUGAAGUCAAACUCUGUCUGCCAAACUUGAUUUCAUAAUCCUGUCACACUUUUCUUCAGCCAUCUCUUCUCUGGG